rnacentral:rRNA from 1 species
UACGUAGGGGGCCAGCGUUGUUCGGAAUUACUGGGUGUAAAGGGUUCGUAGGCGGUGUGGCAAGUCGGGAGUGAAAUCUCUGGGCUCAACCCAGAGUCUGCUUCCGAAACUGCUGUGCUUGAGUGUGGGAGAGGCGCGUGGAAUUGCAGGUGUAGCGGUGAAAUGCGUAGAUAUCUGCAGGAACACCCGUGGCGAAAGCGGCGCGCUGGACCACUACUGACGCUGAGGCGCGAAAGCGUGGGGAGCGAACAGG